UAAGGAAUAUUGGGCAAUGGGCGCAAGCCUGACCCAGCCAUGCCGCGUGCAGGAUGACUGCCCUAUGGGUUGUAAACUGCUUUUAUACGGGGAAAAACCCUCGAACGUGUUCGGGGCUGAUGGUACCGUAAGAAUAAGGAUCGGCUAACUCCGUGCCAGCAGCCGCGGUAAUACGGAGGAUCCAAGCGUUAUCCGGAUUUAUUGGGUUUAAAGGGUGCGUAGGCGGAAUGGUAAGUCAGCGGUGAAAUCUCCCAGCUUAACUGGGAAACUGCCGUUGAUACUGCCAAUCUUGAGUACGGUUGAAGUGGGCGGAAUGUAGCAUGUAGCGGUGAAAUGCUUAGAUAUGCUACAGAACACCGAUUGCGAAGGCAGCUCACUAAGCCGCAACUGACGCUGAGGCACGAAAGCGUGGGGAGCAAACAG
rnacentral:rRNA from 1 species